rnacentral:rRNA from 1 species
UACGUAGGGGGCAAGCGUUGUCCGGAUUUAUUGGGCGUAAAGAGCGUGUAGGCGGCCAGGGAGGUCCGUUGUGAAAACUCGAGGCUCAACCUCGAGACGCCGAUGGAAACCCCCUGGCUAGAGUCCGGAAGAGGAGAAUGGAAUUCCUGGUGUAGCGGUGAAAUGCGCAGAUAUCAGGAAGAACACCCGUGGCUAAGGCGGCUCUCUAGUACGGUACUGACGCUGAGACGCGAAAGCGUGGGGAGCGAACAGG